CAACUGCAACGGUGAUUUUAGAUGAGUCCUUACCAUUAAUCCUUAGCAUUAUUUCAAUAUAAUAUUAUUAUUUUGGUUUAAUUAGCUAGGGAUCAAUCCUUCAAGAAGGAUUGGAAGGACUCAAUCCUUAACACACGUGUCUCUCUCUAUCUCUCCUCCCACGCUCUCUCUCUCGAUCUCUCCUUGCUCCAUCAUCUCCCACCAUGAUCCUAUCUCUCUCUCUCUCUCUUUACUUCAUUUCUCUCACUCGGACACUGCAAAUUGCCAGUCGAGAUUUGUCACCGCCUGUUUUAUAAUUCCUCUUCUCCCUUUUCGUUUUUUCCCCGUAUCAAUGGAUCCUACAAUUCCUCUUCAAUCAUAUUUGUGGGUUUGUUUUGGUGUUACUGCAAUCAUGACGUGGGUUGUUCCUUGAAGUUAGGUUGUUAAAGAAAUUAGAAUUUUUGCUAAGGUUUUUUUUUUUUUAAAUGACUUGUUUGUGUCUGGCAGGGGAAGUGAAAUGGCUCUUAUCAAUUUGGAAGCUCAUGUGUUGCUGCUCAGUGGGGGAUUCGUCGUCCUCAUGUUGCAGUCAAAGCUUCUUUUUAUCCAACCAGAUUGGAAUCUCACCAUGACAACAGUUGCAUCAGCCAAAUAAAUUGUUUGGGAGCUUCACAGUCGAGUAUGUUUUCACAUGGCUCCUUGCCCUUCUUGUCACUUGUAAUGGGACAGUCCCGUAAUUCACAUUCUCGUAGAGGAGCUCGCUUCACCGUUAGGCCUUAGGUUGAGUAAACAAAAUAUACUUUUGAGUUUAUGUCGUGGAUCCCAAUAACGUCGGAACGUUACGGAUGCAGUAGAAGUGAAUGGAGGGAUUAUUGUGUCGGUGGUGAAGGAGGAAGAUUGGUUUAAGAAGCAGAGGAGCCGAGUGAAAGUGAUUGACUAUGGCGAAGCUGUCAUCAUGCCUGGUCUUGUUGAUGUGUAAGUUUGAUCUUAAACCACAUCACCAAGGACUCGGUUCUGUGUAGUUUAUGCUUCCUUCUGGAACAAUGGCUGCUGCUGCUGGUAAUCAAAUCAUGUUUCAAUUACUUUGAGACAUGAAACAUGAACUCUUUCUUUUUUUUUUGAACUUCAUGAAUACAAAACGCUAAGGACUCCAAUUCAAGUAA